UACGAAGGGGGCUAGCGUUGCUCGGAAUUACUGGGCGUAAAGGGAGCGUAGGCGGACAUUUAAGUCAGGGGUGAAAUCCCGGGGCUCAACCUCGGAAUUGCCUUUGAUACUGGGUGUCUUGAGUGUGGGAGAGGUAUGUGGAACUCCGAGUGUAGAGGUGAAAUUCGUAGAUAUUCGGAAGAACACCAGUGGCGAAGGCGACAUACUGGCCCAUUACUGACGCUGAGGUGCGAAAGCGUGGGGAGCAAACAGG
rnacentral:rRNA from 1 species